rnacentral:rRNA from 1 species
UAAUACGGGGGGAGCAAGCGUUGUUCGGAUUUACUGGGCGUAAAGGGCGCGUAGGCGGCCACCGCAAGUCGGUUGUGAAAUCUCCGGGCUUAACCCGGAAAGGUCAAUCGAUACUGCGGGGCUAGAGUGCAGAAGGGGCAACUGGAAUUCUCGGUGUAGCGGUGAAAUGCGUAGAUAUCGAGAGGAACACCUGCGGCGAAGGCGGGUUGCUGGGCUGACACUGACGCUGAAGCGCGAAAGCUAGGGGAGCGAACGGGAUUAGAUACCC